rnacentral:rRNA from 1 species
CCUACGGGUGGCAGCAGUGGGGAAUAUUGCACAAUGGGGGAAACCCUGAUGCAGCGACGCCGCGUGAGUGAAGAAGUAAUUCGUUACGUAAAGCUCUAUCAGCAGGGAAGAAACACUGACCUUACGGUCAGCAGACGGUACCUGAGUAAGAAGCCCCGGCUAACUACGUGCCAGCAGCCGCGGGCAUACGUAGGGGGCAAGCGUUAUCCGGAUUUACUGGGGGUAAAGGGAGCGGAGACGGUGCGCCAAGUCUGGAGUGAAAUGCCGCAGCUUAACGGCGGAAGUGGGUUGGAAGAUGGCGACCUAGAGGGCGGGAAGGGUAGGCGGAAUUCCUGGGGUAGCGGUGAAAGGCGUAGAUAUUAGGAGGAACACCGGGGGCGAAGGCGGCUUACUGGACCGUAACUGACGUUGAGGCUCGAAAGCGUGGGGAGCAAACAGGAUUAGAUACCCCUGUAGUC